CUGGACCUGACGGGGUCCGGCCCCCGCAACCCAGUGACGAAGGCUUGGGAGUUCCUGAGGAUCUGGAUCCAUUGGGAUCACAACCCAGAGAACAGAGGAGUUCCUGAGGAUCUGGACCUGACGGGGUCCGGCCCCCGCAACCCAGGGAGGAUUUGGGAGUUCCUGAAGACCUAGAACCAAUGGGAUCACAACUCAGAAAACUGAGGAAUUCUGUGGAUCUGGACCUGAUAAGAUCCGUCCCCCAUAACCUGAUAGAAGAUUGCUCAGGUGUUUUUCGUGCAUCCAGGCCCUUGCAACUCAGAGAAAGUACUGCUGUGAAAA